rnacentral:lncRNA from 1 species
UCUCCUGUAUGCAAUCCUCUCUAUUCUGGGGCUUCUUCCCACUGAGCUUCUACCUGACCUGCACUUUUCGCUUUCUACCCUCAUCUCAGUUCAGGUUUUCCUCUCUGUAUGUCUUUAUCAAAUUCUACUUUCACAUCUUGAAUGGACUUUCUGAUUCCAUGCUGAUGUUUGUGUUCUCUUGGUGACUAUCCAUGUCCUGUCUGGGUUGAUGGAUUGCUUUGGUUUUUUUUUUUUUUUUUAAUUGUGUGUCUGAAGUUUAUGUAAGUCAUCUUCAUCGGGGGCCAGUAUUGUGGAAUUGGUAAUUUUUGGAGAAGACAGAUUGUCUUGGUGUUUCCUAUUAUUCCUGGUGUUGUGUUGAGACCUGGUGUUUUAAUUAUUCCUAAAUCUAGGUUGCCUUUCUGCUUUUAGUGGGAAUGCUUUCAAUAUUCAGGAAAGACCAGUAAGGUUGAGUUGACAUUUUCUUUUAGACUUGUUCAGACUCUAUCCCUGACCUGCACAGGAAGUCGGAGAGCCACUGUCCAUCAAUAAACCCACCGUGAAAGUAGUGUCAGUUAACUACGAAACAGGCAUUCCUUAAAUGCCAACUAGUUUGGGGGAGUAAAGGGCCACACUGUAAAGGGCCACACUGUGCUGUGCUAGUGUAUUGGUUACUGAGUGGAGAGAAAAACACCACAACAGGACUGGUUAUUAUUGCUAGGUCUCAGUUAAAACAGAACCCAAAAGACGAAAGGCAGAUCCGCCUUCUAAACCCCGGGGCCUCUUGUUAGGUACAGUUUGACCUCCACCUGCCUGUCCCCCAUCCAAAAAGGCAGUCUCUUACUCCAUCCCCUCUUCCUCUCCCACCCAGAAGUCCCACCUACUCCUCGCCUAGUGAUUGGUCUCCUGAAAUCUUUAUUCAUUAGGGGAUGUUUCUGCCACAAAGGGGGCAUGUGUAGAAGGAAUGGUUGAAACAAUGAAGCGAGGAGGGGAGGAGUGGGAGCUUGAAUUAAGAGUAAGCUGAAAAGGAAUCUCAAAGACAUACACUCAAAAAUGGACUCCAGUCUCCUCUCUCUGGAGGUUAAGUCACAUGACUAUAACCCAGGGCAGCCAAUGUUCUUUGGAAGAGAGAGGAUAAAGAUGGGGGAAAGAAAAAAAAUUAAAAAAAAAAUAAAAAAAAAAAAGAUGGGGGAAAGAGGAAAGUAAAAGGUGGAAACUGUCAUGAGACUAUGGUGGUCUGCUGCAUUGACCUUGGGUAUCAUAAAUUAGGAAGAGCUGUAGGGGAACAAGAGCUGGAUGGAGACUGGGUGUGUGGCUGGAUUCUGUUUGACCCCCUGACCUAGUUGACUGAAGGUGUGUGCACAUGUGUGUGCAUGGGUAUGGCAUCUAACCUCAUGGUGAGCUGGAGCCCCAGUGGGAGGUAUAGUGAUAUUCAUAGAGCUCUGCAGCCAUCUCCACGAUCGAUCUAAUUUUAAUUCAUCUUUAUCCUCGAGAGAAACCUCACAUUCACUGUUAGGAUUCCAGCCUGGGCUCUGGCAGCCCCAACAACCAAUGUUCUACCAGUUGUCCUAGAGGCCAAUUAAACACCCAAGUCAUAGCGAAAGGCAUCCACCCAAGUCCACCUUUGGUCCUGACAUGAGGUUUAGGUUUAAAUAGAGGUCCAGAAGUGUGCAUAGCUGAGCAGUCCUGGCCAGAGUGUGCUGCCAUAUGUCGCUAUGGACUCUGGCCAUGUGUUUAUCGUUGGGCUCCAGGGUCCUGCUAGUUGGUCUGACAAGUUGUUAGAACUGAGUGAAACCUCUCCCUGGGAGACACAUUCCACUCCCUGGCUCCAAGCUUCAACUUUUCUCCUCACAGGAGACUCCUGAAGAAAACCCAGUUCCUUGGAGAUUGCCACUUCAGUAGUCUGAUGGAAGGGAGGGACACAGAGAGCCUGUUUAAAACAUCUUUCUGCCAGGAUGGGUACACCCUCAGCCAUGACUCUUUAGCUCCUUCCAACUGUGACCAUGACCUGAGCCCCUUGCAAACACUGAUCUACUUUUGGUCUCUUCAAGCCUGCCUGUCACACUUCAUAUGAGUAAAAUCAUGGGAUAGAUUAUCUUUUGUGACUUGCUGCUUUGGCCUACCAUAAUGUUUCUAAACCUUGUAGCUUAUGUCAAGACUUCAUUUCUUAUUGCCCAAUAGUCUGCUGUAGGCAUGAGACCAUAUUUAUCAGUCAGUUGAUGAAAAUGUUUGCUUUUCAGUUAUGCACAUUUGUUCUAAGUAUCAUUUAAGUUUCUCUUUAUUUUGUCUUUGUAAUUUAUCUAUUUAGGAAAUACGCUUCUCUAUAGUUUACAGUCUGUGGUAUAGUUUACACACACUGCUGUCGUUUAACCUGUGCGUGUAUAUUGUAUUUCCUUUGAAUUUAUAUGUCUGGUGGUUCUUUUUAGACAGGGUCUCAUGUAGUUCUGACUGUCCUGGAAUUUGCUGUGGAGACCAGACUGGCCUUGAACUACCUCCUGCCUUUACCUCCUAAGUGCUGAGAUUAAAAGCCUGUGCUA